ACGGAGGCAGCAGUGGGGAAUAUUGGACAAUGGGCGCAAGCCUGAUCCAGCCACGCCGCGUGAGUGAUGAAGGCCUUCGGGUCGUAAAGCUCUGUGGGGAGGGACGAACGACCGGGUGAAGAGCCCGGGUUGACGGUACCUCCUUAGCAAGCACCGGCUAACUUCGUGCCAGCAGCCGCGGUAAUACGAAGGGUGCAAACGUUGCUCGGAAUCAUUGGGCGUAAAGCGCACGUAGGCGGCUUCGCAAGUCGGAUGUGAAAUCCCUCGGCUCAACCGAGGACGUGCAUACGAAACUGCGAGGCUUGAGUACUGAAGAGGAUCGCGGAAUUCCCGGUGUAGAGGUGAAAUUCGUAGAUAUCGGGAGGAACACCAGUGGCGAAGGCGGCGAUCUGGGCAGAUACUGACGCUGAGGUGCGAAAGCGUGGGGAGCAAACAGGAUUAGAUACCCCUGUAGUCC
rnacentral:rRNA from 1 species